rnacentral:tRNA from 1 species
AAGGUCGUGGUCGAAUGGUUACGCUGUCCGCUUUGUAAGCGGGUGAUCAUGGGUUUGAUUCCCAUCUGCUGCA